GUAUGUCUCGGGCGUUACAUCGUUUCUUGUUGGGUCAUGUGGCAAUCAUUUGAGUUGGCAUGAUUCAUCGCCGGAGCGGGCAUGCGGCGUGCCUGUAAAUGAAGUAACGUAGAAGCGUGAUGUCGUGGAGACAACGUGGAACGUAUGAACAUGGUGGCGGAUCAAGCAAGAACCAAUGUCGGUAACUUGAUUACGUGAAGGCGUGAGACAGCGUGAUGUCGUGGAGACAACGCAACAUGAAAGUUCUCGAGCGACAACAUGAGGAACGCGGGUACCGAUUUAGGUGGCGUGCAUGGUCUCAUCGUUGGCACCGCCGGGGUUUAUCC
rnacentral:lncRNA from 1 species